UACGUAGGGUGCGAGCGUUAAUCGGAAUUACUGGGCGUAAAGCGUGCGCAGGCGGUUUUGUAAGCCAGAUGUGAAAUCCCCGGGCUUAACCUGGGAAUGGCAUUUGGGACUGCAAGGCUCGAGUGCGGCAGAGGAGACUGGAAUUCCUGGUGUAGCAGUGAAAUGCGUAGAUAUCAGGAGGAACACCGAUGGCGAAGGCAGGUCUCUGGGCAGUAACUGACGCUGAGGAGCGAAAGCGUGGGGAGCAAACAGG
rnacentral:rRNA from 1 species